rnacentral:lncRNA from 1 species
AAACACAUUGGUGUUAUAAUUUUUAUGUUUUAACAACCUUAUUUUACGUCAAGGGUUAUAAAAAUUUUAUAACAGUAAAGGUUUUUUUAAAAAAAUAUAUAUAUAUUAGUAGCUCUAUUUUUAAUUUUAAUCAUGGUUCUAUUCAAUACAAAACUUUAAAAAGUGGAUUAAGUGUUUAUUAUUAUUAUUAGUUUCUUUCAUAUUGCCUGCUUUUUAUUUGAAACCAGUGAGGCACAUGAAAAGCAAAACUUGCAAAACAAGAAUGGAAAAGGAAAAAGGGGUUGGCUCUUGACUUUUGUGGUUUUGUAUUUGGACAAAUACUUGGUAUGUUCAGGCACUAAUAUAAAAGUUUCAAACUUUAAGCUGGAAAAAAUUGAAAUUCUAAGUAGAAGAGUUAAUUGCAAAAAGGAAAAUAAAAAUUCAAAAGUUCCAAAAUUUAGAAGAUUACAGUAGCAGCUGAAUUAGUGAUUGAAGAUAGGAGACAAAAAUGAAGAAGCAAGAAGAGAGAUCAUAUUCAUUUUCAUUCUAAAUUCACACUCAAUUAUUUAUGAAAAUGAAAUAGCAGACAAUCAGUCGGUUGUUAGACUAGCUAUUUAAUCUACACACACCAUUAUUAUCUUCAAUUCAUCAUUAUCAAUACCCA